AACUUGAAUAGAUCGCCGAUUUCAGUUUGUGAUUAACAACCAUCAACAACAACCAUAAGCGAGCUUUUGUCAAUUUAAACAGAAGCUUUUUUCGUCUUGUUUCAUCAUGUUGCGCAGGAAUCUCUUGGAGGCCAUCCGCAUGGCGUGCAAUGAUCAGAAGGAAGCUCCCAAAUAUAACCAAAGGAAAAAGAAGAAUUACAAAAUUGAAUUGACCGACGCACAGAUUUGGGAACUCAGGCGGGAUUUUGAAGCGUUUGAAUCAGCAAGAACAGGGCCCAUAGAAGUUAAAGAACUUCAGCUGGCCAUUAAACAUCUAGGUCUGGAACCAACGGAAGAACUCAUAAGGAUGUUGGCAAACCAAGAUCCCUCAGGAGUUAUUUAUUUUAACGACUUUCUACAUGUUGCAGCCCAGGAAAUGAAGAAGGAGAACCCCACAGAGGAACUGAGGAAAGUUUUUCAGAUGUUCGAUAAUGACAGUACAGGAAAAAUUUCCCUGCAAAAUCUACAAAGAGUUGCAAAGGAGCUUGGCCAAAACAUCACUAAUGAGGAGUUGAAGAUAAAGGAGUAGAGCUGCAAGACAGAAGAUUUUUCAGCAAAAGAUCAACCCAGUUUAAAAAUUUUUGCAUCCUUCUGACAUAAUGAUCUGAUGGAAUCAUACUUUAACAUUUGGGCCAAAAUUCAUAAAGAAGAAUCAAAACAACACCAUACCCAUAGUAAAACAGGGUACUGGCAGCAUCGGUCUCUUGGUUCACUUUUCUUUAAAUAAAAUAUUAUUUUCCUGAGCAAAUCGGUCAUCCAGCUUGACACAUGCAAGUGAACCAGAUUCCAGAACUAAAUCUGACAGAAUCUACAGGGUCACCUGAAGAAGGCUGCGGUCAAGACUCAAUUUGACAGAUUUAGUGAACUUUGGCAAGACGGAGUCAACAAAUAGAGUAGGUCAAGAUGUGGGAUUCUAAUCGACUUUUCCUAAAGAAUACGAAAUGCUGAAAUUGAAUCGAUGUCAGGAUCUGGGUUUGUGUUUUUGUGCUUGCUACAUGUGCUCAUUCUCAGGUGGUGCUGGAGCUCUCAGGUAUGCUGGGUGACAGGUGCGACUUAUUCCACUAAUUGCCAGGAGGAGUACUUAAGCAGGAGUCUGCCAGCACUUCAAUGCGAGAAUGUUUUGCCACCAGUGAUUUUUAGAACCUAAGCUUUGGAUCUAUGUCACUGAGUUUCUGGACUUUGUUUCUGGAGGUUAUUCUGGAUGAUCAAGCCUAUCUUUGUUCUGAGGAUUCCUAUCCUGUCAUCUGCCUUUGUUUGGAUUCGUAUCAAGCUGGCAGCUUCCUGUCCUCUCCGUCUCCUGAGCCAAUCCACAAGUGUACCCUGUCCACCCUCCAACGUAAACCACCGCACAUUGAACUUGUUUCUUUGUUCCGAGCUCACACAGAACAGCACCAAGUGAACUCUCUACGGAUAUCCCUGCUGAAGACCUGGAUCCUGAGUCUCAUUCCCCCUGGCGACCUGACCACCAUAACCCAUGAGAUUUAUGUCCGUUUCGUUCCUGAUUACAUCACCAAUAAAACCGUCU